CCUACGGGGGACAGCAGUGGGGGAUAUUGGACAAUGGGGGGAACCCUGAUCCAGCGACGCCGCGUGAGUGAAGCAGUAUUUCGGUAUGUAAAGCUCUGUCAGCAGGGAAGAAAGAAAUGACGGUACCUGACCAAGAAGCCCCUGCUAACUACGUGCCAGCAGCCGCGGGAAUACGUAGGGGGCAAGCGUUAUCCGGAAUUACUGGGUGUAAAGGGAGAGUAGACGGUUAAGUAAGUCUGGAGUGAAAGGCCGGGGCCCAACCCCGGGACUGCUCUGGAAACUAUUGAACUUGAGUGCAGGAGAGGUAAGCGGAAUUCCUAGUGUAGCGGUGAAAUGCGUAGAUAUUAGGAGGAACACCAGUGGCGAAGGCAGCUUACUGGACUGUAACUGACGUUGAGGCUCGAAAGCGUGGGGAGCAAACAGGAUUAGAUACCCGUGUAGUC
rnacentral:rRNA from 1 species